rnacentral:rRNA from 1 species
GGGGAAUUUUGGACAAUGGGCGCAAGCCUGAUCCAGCAAUGCCGCGUGCAGGAUGAAGGCCUUCGGGUUGUAAACUGCUUUUGUACGGAACGAAAAGCUCUGGGCUAAUACCUCGGAGUCAUGACGGUACCGUAAGAAUAAGCACCGGCUAACUACGUGCCAGCAGCCGCGGUAAUACGUAGGGUGCGAGCGUUAAUCGGAAUUACUGGGCGUAAAGCGUGCGCAGGCGGUUUUGUAAGACAGUGGUGAAAUCCCCGGGCUCAACCUGGGAACUGCCAUUGUGACUGCAAGGCUGGAGUGCGGCAGAGGGGGAUGGAAUUCCGCGUGUAGCAGUGAAAUGCGUAGAUAUGCGGAGGAACACCGAUGGCGAAGGCAAUCCCCUGGGCCUGCACUGACGCUCAUGCACGAAAGCGUGGGGAGCAAACAGGA